GAUGAAGAACGUAGCGAAAUGCGAUAAGUAAUGUGAAUUGCAGAAUUCCGUGAAUCAUCGAAUCUUUGAACGCACAUUGCGCCCCCUGGUAUUCCGGGGGGCAUGCCUGUUCGAGCGUCAUUGCAACCCUCAAGCUCGGCUUGUGUGAUGGACGACCGUCCGGCCCUUAGGGGCUGGACGCGCCCGAAAAGCAGUGGCUAGGCCGCGAUUCCGGCGCCUGAGCGAAUGGGACUUCCACCGCUUCUAGGACCGGCCGGCACUUGGUCUUUAACUAAAGUCCUAACGGACCUUCUAAGGUUGACCUCGGAUCAGGUAGGGAUACCCGCUGAACUUAAGCAUAUCAAUAAGCGGAGGA
rnacentral:misc_RNA from 1 species